GACGAACGCUGGCGGCGUGCUUAACACAUGCAAGUCGAACGGAAAGGCCCUGCUUUUGUGGGGUGCUCGAGUGGCGAACGGGUGAGUAACACGUGAGUAACCUGCCCUUGACUUUGGGAUAACUUCAGGAAACUGGGUCUAAUACCGGAUAGGAGCUCCUGCUGCAUGGUGGGGGUUGGAAAGUUUCGGCGGUUGGGGAUGGACUCGCGGCUUAUCAGCUUGUUGGUGGGGUAGUGGCUUACCAAGGCUUUGACGGGUAGCCGGCCUGAGAGGGUGACCGGCCACAUUGGGACUGGGAUACGGCCCAGACUCCUACGGGAGGCAGCAGUGGGGAAUAUUGCACAAUGGGCGGAAGCCUGAUGCAGCAACGCCGCGUGCGGGAUGACGGCCUUCGGGUUGUAAACCGCUUUCGCCUGUGACGAAGCGUGAGUGACGGUAAUGGGUAAAGAAGCACCGGCUAACUACGUG
rnacentral:rRNA from 1 species